GUCCACGCUGUAAACGAUGAACGCUAGGUGUCGCGGGUAUUGACCCCUGCGGUGCCGCAGGGAAACCAUUAAGCGUUCCGCCUGGGGAGUACGGCCGCAAGGCUAAAACUCAAAGGAAUUGACGGGGGCCCGCACAAGCGGUGGAGUAUGUGGUUCAAUUCGACGCAACGCGAAGAACCUUACCUGGGUUGGAAACCCCCUCGAACCUGCCAGAAACGGUGGGGUGCCUUUCGGGGAGCGAGGUGUCCAGGUGCUGCAUGGCUGUCGU
rnacentral:rRNA from 1 species